UGCUUCUAAGAUGCUUUGAUUGGUAAUGGAGAUUAGAGGAUUUGGAACAGUUGACAAAUUUACAAGAUGAGCUCCUUGAUGCAGCUUCAUUAUUAGUGAAGCCUGGAGGGACACUAGUGUACAGUACUUGUUCCAUUGAUCCUGAAGAGAAUGAGGAGAGAGUGGCUGCCUUUCUCCUCAAGCAUCCGGAUUUCAUUAUAGAUGUUGCUGAUAGGUACGUCCCACCUGAUUUUGUUACGGACAAAGGGUUCUUCUUCUCCAACCCAGUCAAACAUCGUCUUGAUGGAUCAUUUGCGGCCCGCCUGGUGGUCCUAUAUGUAGACCACAAGAUGAACCCUGGGUAAGCAGACCAAGAAUAGUCUAAUUUCUAUUUUCUUGAAAAUUGCUUCAAUUCUCAAUGAGGGUAAAUUUUUUUUAGAGCAAUUAAAAAUCAAAGCAUGUUGAGCCACCACUCUAAUCAUAUUCAUCGAAAUCACUUUUUUGGAGUGCAGUUAGCAAGAAAAACGUGAGCCUCUCCUCUUUAAUCAGGACAAGGUAGGGCCAUGAUGUGAUACAAUUAUCCAAAAAGAAACUUAUCUCUUGUAACUAAUGCUGUCAAAAUCGUUAUCAUGCUGCAAAUUGUAAUUGGGGUUGAAUCUUAUUGAGUUACAAA